GGGAGGGGACCACCGACUCCCUGUCCUGUUUGUAGCCUGCACUGCCUUGGAGCCUUCGAUCUAGCUGGCUCUGAUCCCGCGCAACAGCUGCAGGUCGCAGAAGUGCCCCGCCCCGUCGUGUCGCGCGGGGCGCCGCCUCUCUCCAGGCUUUGGGGCGCGCAGGCGGGUCGCGGGCCGCGCAGGUAGAGCUCGGCGCGGGCCCCGGAGACGGCGCGGCGGGAUGGGGCGGCCCGGGGCCUGCGGCCUCCUGUUGCUCACCGCCUUUCUGGGGCUCUGCGGGCCGCGCGGGGGGCUCGGAGCAUCUUUUUAUGGGGAAAGCUACGUGGGGCUCAGCACCACCGAGGUUUUCCCUGAGCUGUCGCUUCAGUUAAGAUUUCAAACCAGCAAGCCACAAGGCUUACUCUUCCUUGCAGCCGGGAAAACCGACUAUUGCCUGAUAGAACUUCUGUCAGGAAUAUUACAGGUGAAAAUAAACAUGGGUACGGGGCAAGAAAUCCUCCUUUCUGAGCAAAGACUUCGUGUGGACGAUUUGGCUUGGCAUUCGUUGGAGCUGCGCUAUGGCAAGGAUGCUGUUCUCUUGGUCAUUGACAAGCACUUUGAGACAACCGUCCGGCUGGCGGGUGGGCUGCGUAACUUCACCUUUCACCAUGGAAUCUAUAUAGGAGGCCGUGGGGGGCUCAGUGUCCCUUACCUGGACAGGAAGAUCCCCAACUUCCGGGGAUGCAUGGAGGAUGUGGCGUUUAACCAGAGGGAGAUCCUUACGUCCCUUAGGUCAUACCCUGGCUUUAAGAAGGUGUCUGAGGUGUCGCUGGGGUGUAACGAUGAGUUUUUUGCUGGGAAGGAUGAAGCUAUUAGCUUUUUCAGCUCUAGGUCCUAUGUUACCUUUCCAGAAUGGAAGGUACACGGGGAAGGGUUCCUGAGAUUUGCUGUGCAAACUGGAACCCUGCAGGCUUUGCUUUUAUUUCAGUCCGGCAGAGGAAGAGAUUUUGUUGCCUUGGAAAUCCAUGAGGGUCUACUGAAGGCUCACGUAGGAAGGGGCGGAACAAAAACUCAACUCUCUUCAUUCAGCUUGGUUAGUGACAACAAGUGGCACGUUGUUCAGCUUAAAGUCACCGGGAGGCACGUGGACAUCAUGGUGGAUGAACACAGGGAAAGGGCGGGGCUGCCUCUGCAAAGCCAAGCGUUUGUAUCCGAAGGCCCCCUGUUCAUGGGUGGCCUGGAUGACCGGAUGUGGGAAACUGUGCGCGGCUUAGAAGUUGUGUCUAUGCCUGGGAAAUCUGUUCGAGGUAUGUCUCUGAAAGGAUGCCUGCGAGCCUUAGAAGCCAAUUUGGAAAAGAGAGCAUUACGGGAUGCUCUUGUCUCCAGAGACAUUUCGGCUGGGUGCACAAGUGAGGGUCUCCGUGGUACAGAUCCUUCUGUGGCAGGGGAAGACCUGUUUCCACCAGAGCCAUCCUCUCCCACGACCAUUCCCAGUUCUCCUCUGAAAAUUCAAAGUGGCAGCUUUUUGGUUUUGAAUAAGUUAGAAGUCCAAGAAGGUGGACGGGCCUUACUGGGACAAAGGCAUAUAGAAGUAGAUGUGGACUUUAUGGAUCUGGGUAUCAAUUCUUCUCAGAUACUGUUUAAGAUACAGGAAAUGCCAGCUCAUGGGUUCCUUCAAAUAGAUGCUUGGCCUGCACAGGAAAUGGAGAGGACUUUUACUCUGUCAGAUUUGAGGCAUGGGAAAGUGUGGUAUGUCCACGAUGGUUCAGAAGAGCCUACAGAUUCGUUUACGUUUUGGGCUUUUUCUAGUAGCAAGCAGGCACUGCUGUCCCAGCUGCAGGCUCCUGUUCCACAUGUGUUUAACAUUACUGUCCUUCCAGUGAAUGACCCCCCAUAUCUUAAGCUUCCAGAAGGACACCUGCUUCUCUUUGAGAACACUAAGCAACGACUAACACCCAGGGUGAUACAGGUGUUAGAUCCCGACACCGAUUCUCGGCGGCUCAGGUUUUCUGUUCUUAACAACUUCAAUUCAGAGGCUGGGUUUUUAGAAAAUGCCAGGGAGCCCGGGAGAGCCAUCACUGGUUUUACAGACAUGGAUUUACAAGAUGGCAACAUUUUCUAUGUGCACAGGGGUCCUCGAAACUCUCGAGUUGCUCUAAGAGCAACUGAUGGUGAGCUGGUUAGCAAUACUGUGGUGUUGCGGGUCAUGGCUGUCCCUUGGGACUUUGAAGUGGCUGAUAGGACUGGCGUGGUGGUACCACAAGGUGGUACCAUUCUCAUCACUCGGAACAACUUGUCUGUGAAGGUGAAUGGUGGACAACAUGAGCUGGACACUCUCUAUGACAUCACACAUCCACCUCAGUUUGGCCAAAUUCAGCACCGGGGAUCCAACGGAGAGUGGAAACCAGUUAGGACCUUUUCUCAACGUUCCAUUGACCAGAGUCAGAUCCGAUACUAUAGUUCAUUCAAGGGAUUGCAGCAAGAAAAUGUGACGGAUCACUUUAAGUUUAGAGUUAACAUAGAGGGAAGAGUAGGCAGAGAGCUCCUGUUCCCUGUGACUGUGCAGUGGCUGCAGUUGACACUUCUGAAAAAUAUUCCUCUAGAGAUUAGCAACGCAAACAAGAAAGUAUUGGAUUCUGGCCAUCUGCAGGCUGCAGCAGGGAGUGUGGCAGCACCUGAGAGGGGACUCCAUUUCAAGCUACUGAUUCCACCUAAGAGAGGAAGACUGCUACUUGGCAAUAAAGUUCUUAAAUCCGGUUCAAUGUUCAGUCAAAAAAACAUUGCAGACUCUAAGGUGAGCUAUGAACCUCAGGGGAUGCCUGGGCAAGACUCACAGGAUUCUUUUAGUUUCUCAAUUGUUGUAAAACAGGUAGAAUCUAAAGAUCACACCUUUAGGAUAGACCUUAAAGCAGAUAAGACACAUGUCACUAUAACCAACACUGGACUGUAUGUUAAAGAGGGGGAAAGGACAAUAAUUACAAAAUCAGAAUUAUUUGUUCAAACACUGGAUAAUCAUGUCUUCCAAUAUAAAGUCACCAAGAGUCCUCAGCAUGGGGAACUGAAAUUGGUCAGCUCGUCUGCUUCUCUGGGAAGUGACAAUAGGGCCACUGGAUUCACAGACGAAGACAUAGUGAGUGGGAGGCUGGUCUAUGUUCAUGAUGACUCUGAGGCCCAGUGGGAUGAAUUCAUCCUUCUGGCCUCUGCCACAGGUCUGGGCCAACAGGGAGGGGUCAGAAGUCUUGACUCUGAGCACACGUCUACAGAGAUCAAAGUCAGCGUUUCUGUUGAGUUGAAGAAUGAUGAGAAGCCGGUGCGUGUGGUGGAUAAGAUCUUUCACGUUGUGCGGGACAGCCAGCGCUUACUGACACUAGCAGAUCUCUGUUACCAUGACCCCGACAUAGAUUUUGACGAUGGCCAGUUGCUCUACACUCGGCAUGGCAUACCCAAUGGAGAUUUGGUGAAAGCUGCUGACCCAAUUCGGAAGCUCUACCAGUUCAGACAAGAGGACCUACGGGAAGGGCGUGUGCUCUUCAGGCACCACGGUCCAGAUUUCGCUCGGUUCCUGAUUUUUGUGACAGAUGGUGUCCAUUACACAUCAUCCCUUUUCGAGGUCAGUGUGUCAGAGGCCUAUGUCCGCAUAGUCAACAACACAGGGCUGCUUGUGCACAGAGGGAGGGACAGCUUUCUAACAACAGCCAACCUGAGCGUCACCACAAACCAAGAUGUCAGAACAGACCAUGAGUUUGAAUUCCACAUCGUGCAACCCCCAAAACAUGGCAGACUCCUGGUCAACAAUUCUACCUUUCACUCAUUUUCCCAGCAUGACCUAAAGCAGGGACGUGUGAUUUAUAGGUAUGACGGGGAUGGCAACCUCGAUAUCUUUAACCUGACAGUGAAAGUUAAAGAUGCCUACCUAGAUGUGAGCAUCAGGGUCCAAGUGUCGUCAGAAGGUCGCCAACGUUCCACUCCGAUUCUGCACAGCAGGAGCCUUAUAGUUGAAGAAGGAAAACCAGUAAAACUGAGCAGAGGAAAGCUCCAGGCUGGGAAUGAAGAAGAUAUUCCUUCAGAGGCAGUGUUCACAGUCAGAACUCCACCCGUACACGGAUACCUCCAAAUAUCCACAGCAGAAGACGGCAUCGCGGGUGCAGAUGUGAUGCCCACUCUGAACUUCACCCAGCAAGAUGUUGAUGAUGGCCAUGUCCUCUAUGUCCAGACAGCUCCCGGCCAGCAAAAGGACCAGUUCACCCUCGAUGUGACAAAGGACUCCCGGGUUAUAAGGAGAGUGGAGGUGCUCUUGGAGCCCAUCCCCAAGUGGAUUCCUCUCAAGGUGCAGAAUCUCACAGUUCAAGAAGGGGGCUCCAAGGUACUUCUGCAGGAUCACCUCCAAAUUGCAAGCAAGUAUUUGGAGGGUCUUGACUGUGAAUUCAUUCUCCUCGAACCGCCAAAGCACGGUUAUGUCGAAAGCUCCAAGUUUCCAAGAGUGAAGCUAAUGAAAUUUUCCAGGAGAGAGGUGGCGCAGGAGUUGAUUUACUAUGUUCAUGACGGCAGUGAGGAGUUUCUCGACAGCCUCACCAUCCUGGCGAACAGCUCUGAGCUUGGCAAGCAGAGUCCACCUCAGACCCUGUUUGUGACUGUUGAGUCUGUGAACGACGAGGCUCCAGUAGUAACAGCCAAUAACAUCCUCCAGGUGUGGGUGAAUUCUGUCACUGAGGUGACCAGAGGGGACCUGUGUGCAGGAGAUGGGGACUCUUCCCCACAGGACUUGGUCUACUGGGUCACUCCUCCCAGCAACGGGCAUCUGGCUCUCAAGUCCACUCCUGGCAGAAGGAUCCAGAACUUCACUCAGGCUCAGAUUGACGAGGGUCAGCUGGUGUUCGUGCACACUGGAGCAAUGUCAGGUGGCUUUAAUUUCCAGGUGACUGACGGUCUGAAUUUUGCGCCUCGGCAAAUCUUUAGCAUCACUGCCCGAGCUCUGAUCAUUAGCUUAGAAGUCAACAGAGGAUUGAGCAUCUUCCCAGCUCUUGGCCUGGAGGAAGGAAGGUGGAUCUUCAUGUCCAUGUCUCUCGAGUGGCACUGAUAUUCACGGAAAUCUUACAACUGUGGAAUCAGAAGUCCUAGAGUGCAGGUGGACCUUAGUGGCCACCUGGUCCCAUUCUUCUUACUGUUUUCCUGUGUUAGUUUUCCCAAGUAGCAGGGGCCACCAUGAUUCCUAUAGCUUUUAUCAUAUUGUGCCCUUUCAGGGACUCACCUGAGCCUUGCUCAGCAUGGCUUCUUCAGUAGUCACCCGUGGGCUCUUUGUCCUCGCUGCUGUGUGUGAGGCUGGAAGGUGACAAUAAAUGCCGCAUUCUGUAUCUUCCUUCAGAGCCCCCAUCUUUGUCCUGCUAUGUGAUGUCCCAUGAAGGGCGAGGAGGCACUCUGCAUCCUACCUAGGGUGUGAUGUAAGGUGUGUGUUCAGUGUCAGCUAUUGCAGACCCAUGCAGUCAGAACUUCUAUAUGUUAAAGUACCAGGGAAAAGUCCAUUGUUUUUGUGAAGGCAUAAUUUGUUCUAGCACUGUUGCAGGAGUAGAAAAUCUAUUCCUAAUACAGGCUGGGCAUUCAGAUAGUUAUUCUUUAUAUUUAUAUAUUUAUAGCAUUUUAUAUUUUUAAUUACCAUGUUGUGUUUUUAAGAGUUUAAAGGAAAUAGUGUAUGAAUAAACUUUUGUUUAGGCAGUGUUGUUGUUUGACUUUAAUCCCAGCACUUGGGAGACAGAGGCAGGUGGAUCACUGAGUUUGAGGCAAGCCUGGUCUACACAGUGAGUUCUAGGACAGCCAAGGCUACACAAAGGGACCCUGUCUCUCAACUCCCCUUAUACUCCCAAUACCCCACAACUUUUGAAUAUCCUGAUUGCCAGGUAAAAGAUAUGGAGGCAUGGGGCUCUCAGUGUCUCAUGUCUAAUAGACAUUGCCUUCAGGCAAUGUGGCAAUUCUGAUCGCAAAUCUAGAACUUGUAUCAGGCAGUCCUUCUCCUUUAGGUGUAGGCCAGCAUCCCAGGGUGUCUUUAUUAUAGUAUGCCUCUUCUCUGAGACAGGAACAAUAGGGUAACUGUUUAUUUUUUUUAUUUUGUCUCCUAGGCAUUACACACACACACACACACAACACAGCAAGUUAAUAGACUAAUAGCCACACCAAUUAUGUAGUAAUGUUACUGUUACAUGUUUUAAUCUCUUUAGUUGGGGGAAGUAUUGCAGACAGGCAUAAGUUAGCAGCAACCAACGGAAAUCAAGCCUUUAAGAACUUAAUGCACACUUCGUCCACUUGAACUCCUCUGUGGUUCAUCAGACUUCGGAAGUUUCUGCGUUGGUGCCUUGGGACACUCAGCCCUGGAUUGAUGCUUAGAAAAUCUGCAUGGCAAGCCAAGUAGUUAUUAGAAUACACAGUGUGUGAAUGUUUAAGACUUUAUAGCGUCCAUAUUUUGCCAAAUUUGAGUAUCAGUUUUUAACACGGUUACUUUAAGGACUGUACUUCUAAGUGAAAUUUUGUGUGUGAACUAAGUAAUGGAUUUAAAGUAUAUUUUUAUUGUAUUUUUCAAUUUUUCAUUUUGUCUUAUUGUAAAUAUGUACGUAUAGCAUGAGUGUGUACAUGUAUAUACACAUAUGUAUAUAUAGUAGGUAUUUAUAUAAUUUAAUCAACAUGUGUUCUGUUUUCUUCUCUGUCAUUCUCCAAGAAAAAGUUUUGUAAGAGGUUUUACCUUGCUCUUGCUUUCUUGCUUGGUCCUCUUGCCCCUUCCCCCUCUCUUCUAUUCCCCUCCCCCUCUCUUUCCAUAUGCUCAUGGCGGGCUUCUGCUUCUCUCUCUCUCUCUCUCUCUCUCUCUCUCUCUCUCUCUCUCUCUCUCUCCAUCCUCUCAACUUCCCUCUCCAUGCCCUGAAUAAACUUUAUUCUAUGGUUUAAAAAAAAAAGAGGUUUUACAUUGCAAUCUAGCAUAGAUUUUGUUUGUUUAACUUUAGUGAUGGCAUAUGAGAAUAUACUGUGGCCUUAGGCUGUAGGGUUUUUGCUUACUCAAUUGUACUUGGCUCCUUUUCAAGGAAUGUUGGUCUUGACUCUUGGAGGGAAUUUCCCGGAAAGUUUGGCUGUAAUGCUAUAGAAGCAACUCUGUAGGUCCGUAGAGGAGCAGCUCAUCAACAAAGAAUCAUUGUCCUGAGUCCCGAGAGGAUGGCACCAAGAGCCCACCUCUCCCUCAUCGCAGGAACUGAAAGAAAGGAGCAGGGCUCGCCGGAUUCAGAUCCCAUGAGCUAGAGGAUGAUCUUUCAACCCCAACCCCUGGCGUUCGCAUGACCUGCGAUACAGGCCUGGGAGGCUCCCUGGGUGUGUUUAGGAGCCAGCCCCACCCUCCUAGGAACCCCAGUUUCUUGUUUUCCCAGCACCACACAAGCGGAUUUUUCUUUCCAUACCCAGGGUUGAGCCACAGAGGCCUUAUUUGGCACGAAUGCCUUUCUCUGGGCAACUAAACAGAAGUGAGGGCAUAGCUGGAGGAGAAGCACUCAUUUCUGCUGUGGCUCAGGAGCAAACCAUGCCCAUGAGAAAAUAGCCAGGCAUCGCUAGCCUCCCACUGCCCAUAGCUCCCCAUUCAUAUCCAUGAACUCUCCAGGCAGUUUUCAGAAGUCUAGAAAGACCAAGGAGCCAACCCCCUUUGUGCAGGUUGUAGUUAUAUUCAUAUUUCAAUUUUAGGUUCCACAAAGCCACUUUCGUCUCAUGACCUGAGAGCCGUGACCAAUGAUGACAAGGCAGGAAACAGAACUGUAACAUUUACAGUUGUCAGGUCCCCUAAACUCGGGAGGCUGCUGAAGAUGAACCCGGAUAACCGCACAGAGGAUGUUUCCACUUUUACCCAAUGUCUGGUGAGCGAAGGGCUGAUACUCUACCAGCAUGUGGAUCUUGAGAGCACGGGGUGGGCCUCAGAAGACUCCUUCACAUUCACAGCAUCUUCCCCUCCAGCGGAGCUGGGCCCCGAGGCUUUUCGGAUCACCAUUUCAUAUGAAGUGAAUGAGUCAGGUCGACAGAGCCGGCUGCGUGCAAAUACAGGAGCCUCUGUCAAGGAGGGAGAUAAAGUUCUCAUUGACCAAUCAAAAUUAGAUGCCUCCAACCUCUUACUUCAGCUACCCCAACCUCAGCGUUCUUCCCAUGAAAUCUGGUUCCAGGUUACGGCUCUUCCUCACCAUGGAACCAUUAUGGUUGGAGAGAGAAACAUUACCACAGGGAGACCCUACUUCUCCCAGCACACAGUUAAUGUAUUUGGAGCCGCGUAUCUUCAUGACGACUCCGAAUCACUGGCUGAUAAUUUUACCUUUGCUGUUUGGCCAAACCCAAAGAAUAAGUCCACCAGCAAGCCAGAGGCUGGCUUUCUGGAAGAGAUGUUCAACAUCACCAUCACCCCUGUGAAUGAUCAGCCUCCAGAAUUAAAGACCAAAGGGCUGCGGUUGACAGUUCUGCAGGGCGAUAGGUUGGUUGUGGGACCUGAAAUCCUCAAUGUAGAAGAUAUAGAUAGUCCUCCAAAUGAAAUCCAAUAUGAGAUCAUCCGUCAUCCCAACAAUGGCUUCUUAGCCAUGGCUCACGAUCCAGAUGCCACUGCUCACCAUUUUACACAGGCGGACAUCAAUAACGCUCAGGUGUGGUUCAUACAAGAUAGAAGCCCAUCCUCGGGAGUGUUUUAUUUUAGUGUGACUGACGGCAAACACCGCCCUCUCUACAAGCUCUUCCACCUGGAUGUCACCCCCAUUUCCAUCACUCUUGUGAACCUCACAGACCUGCUUCUCCCACAAGGCCAGAACACUGUCCCCAUCACCAAUACUCAUCUCUCAGCAGUGACCAAUGGUAGGAGCCUCCAGAUCAUCUACAGAAUGACACAGCCCCUCCAAAGCGGCCACUUGCUGAUUGAAAACCAGGUGGUCAACAGCUUUGGGCAGGAGGAUUUGGAUUCUGGAAGACUCUCUUACCACAUGACCAAUCUCACAGCCUCCGAAGAUCAGCUGAGGGUCUCACUGUUUACAACGGAGUGCAACUUGACGGAGCAGACACUGAACAUCAGGGUGCAGCCUUUGUUGUGGGUUAUAGCAAACUUGAAAGUGACCAACAGAGUGGCUCACCAGCUUAGGACAGAGGAUCUAGAUGCAACCGAGCUUGCUAACAGGACUAAUAGUGAUCCCAUGUUUGAAGUGAUACAACCCCUAGUCCAUGGACGACUCGUUCGAAGAGCAGUUGAUAGCCCUGUGAUGGAAGAAAUCACUCAGUUCACCCAGACAGACAUCAACCAAGGGCAGCUGGUGCUUGAGCCACAUGCUAAUCUAACAGGCACCCACACACUGAAUGACUCCUUCACCUUCUUGCUCAGUGCAGACCAUGUGCAGCCAGCAGCAGGUUAUCUAGCCUUUACCAUAGUGCCACCAGACCCCUUACCUUUACAGACAUUUACACCAGAUGUGCCUUUAUUUGUCACUGGAGAGACCCUCGUGGCCUCUGUUUCCUCUCAGAAAAAACUUAGGGCUUCUAUUAAAAAACAGACAGAAACUCCGGGGAAUCUGACCCAGGGCAGAUGGCAGGGGACAGAUUCCUGGGGUCAACUCAGUGGCAAAGAGCCAAAUAUAGAUGCCAAGGUCUCUCCCACCAGGGUCAUUUGGCCAUAUGCUGCCACCAAAGUGGGGGAGUCCCUUUCCGGGGGAGCCAUGCAGCCGGAAAUGAGCCGUCACCCUCUGGUGGUCAUCAUACCUUUGGCUGCUGUGUUCCUCCUCCUGCUGGUGACUGUGGUGGCCCUGUGUGUUUGGCUACUGAGCCGAAAGGAGGACAAACCCAAACCACUUACCCAGCCAAAGACAAACCUGAAGUCCCCAUCCACAGGCUCUAGAGCAGAGAGGAGUGGAGCCAUUCCCACGGUCACGGUGACACCCCUUAUUAGAAGCAGCCUGGCUCCUAGUCUGUUCCAGACCCAAUCCUAUGAUCGGCCAGCCCCUCUGGGGGCGGAGCCUGUGGAGAAAUGUGCUCCUUGGGACGCAUGGGUGAACUUGGAUCCUGACAUGGCCAAGCUCUGUCGACAAACCAACCCCGCACUGAAACACAACCAGUACUGGGUAUAAAUGGGGAGCCCCCCUCCUACACCACCUCAUACUCAUUCUCUCUCCUUCGCUCCCCCCCACCUCUCUCUCCCCCUUUACCCCCCUUUCCACUUUCCCAUCUCUCCCCUUUUCCGCUCUCCUCCCCUCCCCCAUCUCUUGCUGUUACUGACCACUUACUGUGUAUAGGUACGAAGAUCAACUCAGGGUUAUAACGAUGAAGGAAUGCGCUUCGAAUCAAGGAAAGCUGUCCAUUAGGUGUAGUUACACACAGGGCCCACUCACAGCCCAGUGCUGUUGGUGAGUGCCGUACCUUGCACUCCUGGGCCUUCCACAGUGGUCCCUUGCCAGGACCUGCCACUCUGUUAAGAAUUAAACUGGACUAAGGUACUGCUGAGCAGUGGGACCUCAUUGGAAGCAGUGCCUUUAACUUGGAGCUCGGAGUUAAGGGAGGACGGUGUGGGUGCUUUUCAUGGGAGAUUCACCCUCACGGUGAGUCAGCAGGAGGUGCCGGGUCUCUCUCCACACAAGAUGCCAUUUAUUACAUCGGCGAGUUUGUUUAUGGAAUAUUUAUGUGUGUGGAGUCUCCUCAGGUUGGUUUCCUCGUGCAGGAAACGCCUUGUUCAGAUUACAGGGCAAACUGACCUCCUUUGAGGAUAGUCCUUAAAUCCGACGUAUUUUUAUCCAGAGGCAUUGUUUACAGAAGGAUCUGUAAAGUCAAGAAAUAUCUGAAGCUCUGAGGUGUAGAAAGGUGUGUUAAAAGCUUUUUAUUUUUUGAUGCCUUAGUUUGGCAUCUUUUUACAAUAAAUGGAAGUAAUGGCAAAUUUGUAUUUGAAUUGUCUACUUGAACCGUUGUCCACCAUUAGUUUCUGUAAGUCUAAAAUGAAGCUUUCAGUACUUACACUAAGGCAGCCUUGGGCUGCAGAGUAUAACACACCCACAAAUGUGAGACUGAGGCUUGCACAAAUGAUUCAGAUUUUUCUGUGAAGAGUAAUAUAGUAAAGAUUUUAGGUUUGUGGGCUACA